CGCGUGUUUUGGCAGGGGGUUUCCCUGGUAAAAUUCGCAUUCCAGGGGCUAAAUAUCAGGUUAAUGAGGUCGUUUUUCAACACGCGGACAUGAAAAACCUGAAACACAUAAAACA